GAUAAACGCUGGCGGCGUGCCUAAAACAUGCAAGUCGAACGGGUUCUUGCCUUCGGGCGGGGAUUAGUGGCGAACGGCUGAGUAACACGUGGGUGACCUGCCUUCGAGCGGGGGAUAACUGCCCGAAAGGGUGGCUAAUACCGCAGAUGUCGCUGAUUCGGUUCAGUGACUGAACCUCUGGGGUUCGGAGAGGGGCCCGCGGCCGAUUAGCUAGCUGGUGGGGUAACGGCCUACCAGGGCAACGANCCGUAGCUGGUCUGAGAGGAUGAUCAGCCACACUGGGACUGAGACACGGCCCAGACUCCUACGGGAGGCAGCAGUGGGGAAUAUUGGACAAUGGGGGAAACCCUGAUCCAGCCAUGCCGCGUGCGGGAAGAAGGCCUU
rnacentral:rRNA from 1 species